UACCAGACUCCUACGGGAGGCAGCAGUGAGGAAUAUUGGUCAAUGGGCGGAAGCCUGAACCAGCCAAGUCGCGUGAGGGAAUAAGGCCCUACGGGUCGUAAACCUCUUUUGUCGGGGAGCAAGGGCGGGGACGUGUCCCGGCCCGGAGAGUACCCGGAGAAAAAGCAUCGGCUAACUCCGUGCCAGCAGCCGCGGUAAUACGGAGGAUCCGAGCGUUAUCCGGAUUUAUUGGGUUUAAAGGGAGCGUAGAUGGGUUGUUAAGUCAGUUGUGAAAGUUUGCGGCUCAACCGUAAAAUUGCAAUUGAUACUGGCAGCCUUGAGUACAGUUGAGGUAGGCGGAAUUCGUGGUGUAGCGGUGAAAUGCUUAGAUAUCGCGCAGAACUCCGAUUGCGAAGGCAGCAUGCCGGCUCCACACUGACGCUGAGGCACGAAAGCGUGGGUAUCGAACAGGAUUAGAUACCCCUGUAGA
rnacentral:rRNA from 1 species